rnacentral:rRNA from 1 species
UAGGGAAUAUUGCGCAAUGGGCGAAAGCCUGACGCAGCGACGCCGCGUGUGGGACGAAGGCCUUCGGGUUGUAAACCACUGUCAGAGGGGACGAAUUUUCCAGCUAACUACUGGAAGUGACUUAACCCUCAGAGGAAGCACCAGCUAACUCCGUGCCAGCAGCUGCGGUAAUACGGAGGGUGCAAGCGUUGUUCGGAUUUACUGGGUGUAAAGAGCUCGUAGGCGGUUAGGUAAAUUAGGCGUGUAAGCCCCCGGCUCAACCGGGGAAUAGCACCUAAGAUUGCCCGACUAGAGUGCGGAAGAGGAGAGUGGAACUGUAGGUGGAGCGGUGAAAUGCGUAGAUAUCUACAGGAACACCAGAGGCGAAGGCGACUCUCUGGUCUGCUACUGACGCUGAGGAGCGAAAGCUAGGGGAUCAAACAGG